rnacentral:misc_RNA from 2 species
UGACCAAUCAAGCUCUGCUUGGCCUUGGGGCCCGCUAUACCGGCGGCCCUUAAAAUCAGUGGCGGUGCCGUCUGGCUCUAAGCGUAGUAAUACUUCUCGCUACAGGGUCCAGUCGUCCACCCGCCAGAACCCCCAACUUUUUUA